AUUGAACGCUGGCGGCAUGCCUUACACAUGCAAGUCGAACGGCAGCACGGGAGCAAUCCUGGUGGCGAGUGGCGAACGGGUGAGUAAUAUAUCGGAACGUGCCCAGUCGUGGGGAUAACGUAGCGAAAGCUACGCUAAUACCGCAUACGAUCUAUGGAUGAAAGCGGGGGAUCGCAAGACCUCGCGCGAUUGGAGCGGCCGAUAUCAGAUUAGGUAGUUGGUGAGGUAAAGGCUCACCAAGCCGACGAUCUGUAGCUGGUCUGAGAGGACGACCAGCCACACUGGGACUGAGACACGGCCCAGACUCCUACGGAGGCAGCAGUGGGGGAAUUUUGGGACAAUGGGCGCAAGCCUGAUCCAGCAAUGCCGCGUGCAGGAUGAAGGCCUUCGGGUU
rnacentral:rRNA from 1 species